AUGAAUGAGACCUGCGGCAUGUUAAUGGAUGCCGGCCGCUGCGAAUCCACGGCAAAUUUUACCCCCGCGUCUGCUCAUGUUACUGACGACAUCAAUGAUAAAUCUCGGGCCAAUAAGAAAGAACAGUUUGUCUCACAGAACACAGUUGUUAAGAUCAGCACCAUGUCCUGGAUUUGCCUUCUUUUAAUCACCUCAGUCUUCACUUGUUGUGUUGGGCAAUAUGUACUGACUCAGCCACACACAGCAUCAGUACAGCUUGGAGAGACUGCAUCACUCACAUGUCAAGGGAGCAAGUUUGAUGAGUUCUAUGUGAGAUGGUAUCAACAAACACUGGGUGACAGGCCACAUCUUCUUAUUUAUAAAGAUAGUGAAAGAGCUGACAAUGUUCCAGAUCGAUUCUCUGGCAAUUCUGUUGGUAACACAGCAACGUUAACAAUCACUGCAGUCCGAGCAGAGGAUGAUGCUGAUUAUUACUGUAAUGUGUGGAAUAGUGAUAGUAGCACACACACAGUGACAUAG